AUAGAGUCCGUAGAUUCAAAUAUUUGUAAUUUAUUAAUCACAAGGAGUUGUGAUUGUGAGAUACAAAUUACAUCUGAUUGAAUCUUAAAUCAUCCGUGGUCGUAAGUAAUAACGAGAUACGGAUAUCGUUAUUACGGAUAGACCAUCACGUGUGGCAUUUCUUACUUGUGAAGUAAGUGGCUGAUCUCACAAGUUAAAGUGUGGUGACACUUAAAUGAACACGUGGAUGUUUGUUAUAGAACAAAACAUUGGAGACCCGUCGAGAGAUUCCACAUGGAUAACUAUCUGAGUGUCGGUGGUUAAUCUCUAACGUUCGGUAGUGAAAUUGGUCCUUUGACUUGAGGUCGUCAUGGUACCUUAUAUGAGGACAGUCAUACUUUGGCGGUGUUGGAUGUUGCUCUGAAAAGGGCCGUUAAUACGACAUCGUUCGGGUACGUCAAGAAUCCUAUGAAGGUUGUGAUUGAUCAAUAAAGGAUUCGUCACUCUUAGAUAGUAGGAGAUUAUGAUCUGCGUUUCAUUCAAUUAAGUCAAUGAUGAAAUCCUUGGCCAAGGUGUACUCAUAAAUCGAAAAGGAGUUUUCGAUUUAUAUUGACUUAAUAGUGGAGUGAAAGAUAUGAUCGAUGAUCGAGAUUGACACAAUUCCAUAUCUCGUAAUUGAUCGGAUCAUAUUGACGAAGGGAUUAUAGUUUCACGGUAAACGAACGAAUUUGGUUUUGUCAUACCACGUGACAUUUCCCCUCACAUGUAUUGCCCUGACACAUUGCUAGAUGUCAAUCAGGGACGGCGAUUGUGAAUUGACGAUAAAUUAAAAGGGUGUUUUAAUUUAUCAAUUUUGAUUAGAUCAAAAUAAUAUUUCACGUCGUUAGGCAUCGUGGUCGGGAACCUAAUGGGUCACACACAAAAGAGAAUUGGAAGAUUGCAAAUUGCCAAUUAGUUAAUUUAACAAUCGUUGGAUAAAUUAAUUAAUUGGAUUUGUUAUUUAUAUUUUCGAAUUAAUUAAUUGGAUUAAUUAAUUCACGGACCGGGUUUAAUUAAUUGGAUUAAUUAAUUAUUGGACCGGACCGGGCCGAGCCUAUUUGGGUUUAUAUAAAUAUAUAACUAGGGUUUGAGGUCCAUUAAGGUUUUCAUUAUUCUUGCUAGCACAAGAGAAAACCCUAGAGGCUGCAAUCAUAUUCUCUGUGUGGAUCACCGUUGGAGGCUGGACAAUUGGACAGCUGUGGUGGCGAAUCAAAGUUGUGGAACGAAAAGAAAAGCAAAAGGAUUGCAG
rnacentral:lncRNA from 1 species